AAAAAUAUUUUAUAUUUUUUAUUGUCUUUUUAAAAAAAGAUACAUAGAUCACAAAAAAAGUUACAUUAAAAAUUAUGAGGUUCCCAUAUACCUCACCCCCACUCCUCCCACAUCAACAACUUCUUUCAUUCGUGUGGCACAUUCAUUGCAUUUGGUGAAUACAUUUGGAGCACUGCUGCACUGCAUGGAUUAUAGUUUACAUUGUAAUUUACACUCUCCCCCAGUCCGUUCAAUGAGUUAUGACAGGAUAUAUAAUGUCCAGCAUCUGUCCCUGCAAUAUCAUUUAGGACAACUCCCAAGUCCCCAAAAUGCCCCCAUAUCACACCUCUUCUUCCCUUUCCCUGCCCUCAGCAACUCCCAUGGCCACUGUCUCCACAUCAAUGAUAACAGUUUCUUCCAUUGUGGCAGUAUCCUAGCCUUUGAUGUUUACUGGUGCAUCUUUAUAUCACACGUGGAGAGGGCUGGAUCCAGAUGGUCAGACCACCCCACCCAAUGCGCUUUGCUUUCAGGCCAGAUUCCCAUCAGGGAACCCUGGAGCUGGGCGGUUUGGCCACUGCCCCAGGACAUCACCGCAGUACUUGGCAAGAGGUCAUUGAAGGGAAGUUCAGGAAGCUCCUUUUCUGUGCCUGCCAAGUGGUAACCAACCCCCAAGAAGGCUUUCUUUGAACCAGUUAGGGCACUGAGCUCUGGGAAAGGAAGAGGUCAGGAAGGGUCACAGACUAGUCUCAGAAGUGAGUUCCUGUUCUUCUCUGCUUACUAGCUGCUUUAUUUAUAGCCCUUUGCCAGUUUGUUCUUUAUUCCAUUUUAAAGCAUUUCCACUUCCACCCUUCAUUUGCUCUUCCCACCAGCCCAGGGAGUCCCUCUCUUCAGCUUAGACUAGUGAGUGCAACAGCACCCCAGAGACAAGUGGUCUCAAACCCUUGCAAGUCCCAACCCUGACAACUUUCCUUCUAGUCACAAAUCUAGUCCAUUUUGUCUUCAGUUAUUCAAACUCUUUCUGAACAUCUGAUUCAGGUUCCUCUUCUGUAAAAAUAAGUGGGGUUAGUUUAGUUUAGGUUAAGAUUUAGCAAACUUUUCCUGUAAAGAACCGGAUGGGGGAAGCGGACAUGGCUCAACUGACAGAGUGCCCGUCUACCAUAUGGAGGGUCCAGGGCUCAAUACCCCGGGCCUCCUGACCUGUGGGGUGAACUGGCCCUCGCGCAGUGCUGCCGUGCACAAGGAGUGCCGUGCCACACAGGGGUGUCCCCUGCAUAGGGGAGCCCCACGUGCAAGGAGUGCACCCUGUAAGGAGAGCCGCCCUAUGUGAUAAAAGUGCAGCCCACCCAGGAGCGCCACUGUGCACAUGGAGAGCUGACGCAGCAAGAUGAUGCAACAAAGAGACACAGA
rnacentral:lncRNA from 1 species